GAUUCCGUAGCUCAGCUGGUAGAGCAAUACACUUUUAAUGUAUGGGCCCUGGGUUCGAAUCCCAGCGGAAUCA
rnacentral:tRNA from 4 species